rnacentral:misc_RNA from 1 species
AAACAAAACCCAUUUUGACAAUUAACCAUAACCACAACUCAAAAAUAGAGGGAACCUCAUCUGCACAAAGAGUGUGAAAUGGGCUCCUAAGUGCAACUACUGACGUUAUCCAGAUUGCUAUUAUACAUUAUCAGAUUCGACUUCUACUCCAAGUCCAUCGAGUCUAACAACACAUCACCACCUCGGUCACCUUCUCCGGAAUCGCAACAUUUCGUGCGGAUUAAUUAACCCUUCCAAAAGGGUCGCGACUGAGACCCCCAUCAUUCGGGGUCACCGAUAUAGGAAAGAAAAAUUAUACAGAUACGCUAUUAUAGAUGGAAUAAUUUUUCGCUUCGUAACUGCGUUCCUAGUGCCAUUGGAAAUAAACGUUUCCGCGCGGAAAGUCCUUAGACAAAAAAAGCAAAUUUGGUGCAAAAAGCGGAUAUUUUAAUCUACUUCUGGGAUUGAUGGUUGUGCUGGGAGUUCAUACUAGCCUACAAUGGAAAGCAUGGGUUUGCCCGCUCAUCUCUGUAAACAGGAAUUCAGUUUUUCGCCGGGCAUUAUCGCUGAAGCCCUAACAGCUUUAGUAAUUAGCAAUGGUGAUUACCCUGUGGAUUUUGUUAGCAAGCUGGCGGAUCUGCAGAAAAGCAAACGGCUCACAGAUAUAACACUGCGAAUUGACAACGAAGAGAUUAUUGCCCAUAAAGCUGUUCUAGCGGCUGCAAGUCCCUUCUUCAAUAACUUGUUCGACGAUGAUUUUAUCGAGAGCAAGAAGGAUGUGGUUGAUUUGCAGCAUAAAACUACUCCGGAAAUAAUGUCCGCGAUUAUAGAGUACAUCUACUCGGGGAAACUAACAGUAAAGGAAAAAGACCUGGAUUUGUUCUUCGAAAAUGUUGACCAUCUAGGCAUGGAAAAUCUCAAGAAGAAAAGCGGCCAGGCGUUAUCGACUCUUCUUAAUUCGAAAAAUUGCGUGCAGAUCUUGAUGUUGGCAGCUCAUUGGUAUUGGAAAAGGACUCUACAACGCAGACAAACAUCAGCUAUUAGAUGUGAGGACAAAAGCUGCUUCAACAUUAUCAUCUAAUUACUCUAGUAUCCUGAAUUCAACGGAUAUUAAAAAGCUCUCUAUAAAAGAGUUGGAGGUGAUUCUUGAGAUUGUUCAUAAAUCCCAAGUAAAGAACACAUUGGUAACCAUCAUUGAAUGGAUAAAGUAUGAUGACUCUAACCGUCAGCAGCACAUGUUUAAUCUCACACAGAAAUAUGUAGACGAGCAAAAAU